CUCUGUGACUCCUACGGGAGGCAGCAGUGGGGGAAUAUUGCACAAUGGGCGCAAGCCUGAUGCAGCAACGCCGUGUGAGUGAAGAAGGUUUCGGAUCGUAAAACUCUGUCCUAAGGGAAGAAACAAAUGACGGUACCUUAGGAGGAAGCCCCGGCUAACUACGUGCCAGCAGCCGCGGUAAUACGUAGGGGGCAAGCGUUAUCCGGAAUCACUGGGCGUAAAGGGUGCGUAGGCGGCUUAGCAAGCCAGGGGUGAAAGGCAUUGGCUCAACCAAUGUAAGCCUUUGGAACUGUUAAGCUUGAGUGCAGGAGAGGUAAGUGGAAUUCCUAGUGUAGAGGUGAAAUUCGUAGAUAUUAGGAGGAACACCAGUGGCGAAGGCGACUUACUGGACUGUAACUGACGCUGAUGCACGAAAGCGUGGGUAGCGAACAGGAUUAGAUACCCUGGUAG
rnacentral:rRNA from 1 species